ensembl:ncRNA mir-962 mir-962 stem loop
GAUGGGGCACUCAGGCUAUAAGGUAGAGAAAUUGAUGCUGUCUACACUAUUCAGACUUCAGUUUCAUUACCUUUCAAUUUGUUUGCCCCCAU